CUAUGCCAAUAUAUUCCAAACUUAGGACAAUUUUGUGCUACUGGAUUAAGUUAUGUUCUCAUUGAUAUUAUGGCCUCUUGAUUUAAGAGAUUUACUAUAAUUAGUGUUGACAGGAUUGAGUCCUCAUGUUGGUUGAAAGCUCCUCCAAGGACAGAAACUGUCUUGGAUCUACACUUCAAAGUGUUUAUUAAAUGAGUGAUUAUUUACCUCCUUCCAUUAGGAGCUUAAAUGAAACACUGAAUGACAGUUUAGUUGGGAAUAGAAAUCACUUAUUUUUCCUCUGCACAUCAAAAGCAUUUUGAAAAAAAAAAUCUUCUGUUUUCUGUUUAUACUCUUAGAAGACUUCUGUUUGAGAGGUGAUUCUCUGGAGGUAAUCUGUUCUCUUAGGUUACUUUAGCAUUUUUCUCUCUAUUCUUAACAUUUCAAAUUUUCUUGGCAAAAGUAUCUUUUCCCCUGUUCUGCACAUGUCAUCCUUCAGUUCUGGAAAAUCCUUAGUUCUAAUCCCUUUGAAGGCUGCUUUUCUCUAUUUCUUUCUCUUUCUGAUAUUCUCCAAACCUGUAAGUUGUAGGCAAUUAUUUUAUUCUCCAUAUUUUUUAUUUGUUCAUUCAUAUUUUUUUCAAUCUCUAUUUCUUUAUUCUCUCUUUGAAUUUCUUAAGCCUAACUUCCAGUCCCCUAUUUUUCUCCAACUAUGUUGAAUUUAGAGAUUUACUUAUUAUGUUUUUUUGGACCAUACUUUUCAGAAUUUUUAACAGUACUUUUUCCACAUACUUUGCUCUCCUCUGUCGAAUUUGUUUUCAUAGUUUCUUAUUCUUUACGAAUGCUAUCCCUUCCUCAUCACUUUGAGGAUAACUAACAUGCUUAUUUAAAACUAAUUAUUUUUACUUCAGGUGCAGUAAAUUCAUCUCCCAAACACUGUUUUUACUGACUUGCUUAGCAUUAAUGUUACUUAUCUAUUUUUGGAUUUUGAUUUGCAUAUUCAUUUUGAAUAGUAUUCCAUAUAUAUUCUUUCUUCAUUCAUAUCUCCCUGUUUUGAAGUGUUUUGCUGCCUUCACCCAGCCCCCCAUAAGCCCAGUCCAGAAUCAGAUCAGUAGCUAGGAGCUCUUGUUCUGUCACAAAGCUGGGAAUAUUACACAUCCAAACUCCAAGUCAGGGAGCAUGCGGGCUCAGGUCUUGGCUAGCAGGCUGAGUCUGCUUCAUCCGACCAUGUCCCAUACUCAGUUUUCUAGGGAGAACUUUUUCCCCAGCUUCCUUUUGCUACUCUGCAGUCCCUAGUUUCAAGCUCAGAGACUGGCUCAGGUCCAAGCCUUUGAUGGAUCACUGUUAGCCCUGGGCAUCCAGCCGGAGACAGAUUCCUGCCUGCUCCUGACUGCUUUCCUACCAAACUUCAGUAGGUCCUCACUUCCGCUUCACUUAACCGGAAAGAGGUUGCUGAAAGACCCACAGACCAUCUCAAGUGAUCCUCUGUUACACAGUGGCCAGAAAGUUCUUCAAAUCACCUCUUUAUAAUUCUAAUCAGUAUAAAUGGAAUGAAAGCAAACAGCAUUCUUGAUGUAAAGGCUCUUAAGGAAGUUACAGAGCAUCUGAUAUUCAGAAAACAAGAGCAAGUAACCAUGAAAGCAUCACUUUAAGAGUAAGAGUGGUCCUUAUUAAAGAUUUGAAAAUGUUUACAGGUGAAGAAACUGAGGAGCGAUAAUCACGACCUAGGACAGCUUCCACCUCUGGCAUGUGUCAAGUUCCUUGUGUGUGCGUGUGGGGGGGGUGCUUUUUCCUUUGCCAUCACAUUAGGUGUCCUGCAUGGUACCAUGAACUCAACAUGCUUUCACUGUAUCCCUGCUAAUCACGUGACUUCCAGAAACAUGAAGAUCCAAGGGGAGGGUGAGGAGGGAGGUGAGGAUGCUGGGUCUGCUCCUGACACCUUAACUAUUCAACCUCAAGUCUGAGCAUAAAAGGAGACACUCCAGGGAACCAAGUGAGGUGUGGGAGGAAGACUGGGGAAGGCUCCAGGAGGGCGACUGGGGGCCAGUUUUACCUUAUGGGGGGCCAGGUGACGUCAGAGGGGAAUGCAGGCAGAGGGACCCUUUUUGAUGGGAAGUAGUGAGGAAUAUGCCCAUCACCUUUUUCAGGGCUGGCUGCUGGGUUUGAUUCUUCAUUGUUGUUUAGUGACUAAGUUGUG